rnacentral:rRNA from 1 species
UACGGGGGGGGCAAGCGUUGUUCGGAAUUACUGGGCGUAAAGGGCUCGUAGGCGGCCAACUAAGUCAAACGUGAAAUCCCCAGGCUCAACCUGGGAACUGCGUCUGAUACUGGAUGGCUUGAAUCCGGGAGAGGGAUGCAGAAUUCCAGGUGUAGCGGUGAAAUGCGUAGAUAUCUGGAGGAACACCGGUGGCGAAGGCGGCAUCCUGGACCGACAUUGACGCUGAGGCGCGAAAGCCAGGGGAGCAAACGGG